rnacentral:rRNA from 1 species
UGGGGGAUAUUGCACAAUGGGCGAAAGCCUGAUGCAGCGACGCCGCGUGGGGGAUGAAGGCUUUCGGGUUGUAAACCUCUUUCGCUAUCGAACAAGGCCCGCUUAGGGUGGGUUGAGGGUAGGUGGAGAAGAAGCGCCGGCUAACUACGUGCCAGCAGCCGCGGUAAUACGUAGGGCGCGAGCGUUGUCCGGAAUUAUUGGGCGGAAAGGGCUUGUAGGCGGCUUGUUGCGCCUUCUGUGAAAACGCGGGGCUUAACUUCGGGCGUGCAGUGGGUACGGGCAGGCUUGAGUGUGGUAGGGGUGACUGGAAUUCCAGGUGUAGCGGUGGAAUGCGCAGAUAUCUGGAGGAACACCGAUGGCGAAGGCAGGUCACUGGGCCAUUACUGACGCUGAGGAGCGAAAGCAUGGGUAGCGAACAGG